rfam:Gasterosteus aculeatus cont1.011709, whole genome shotgun sequence.
AUCAUCAAAGCUGGGGCUGUAUCAUAACCAGUCUGGUUAUUUUAGAAGCAUGGGUAUGAUACGACCUCAGUUUGUUGAUGAU